rnacentral:rRNA from 1 species
GACGAACGCUGGCGGCGUGCUUAACACAUGCAAGUCGAACGGAAAGGCCCUGCUUUUGUGGGGUGCUCGAGUGGCGAACGGGUGAGUAACCCGUGAGUAACCUGCCCUUGACUUUGGGAUAACUUCAGGAAACUGGGGCUAAUACCGGAUAGGAGCUCCUGCUGCAUGGUGGGGGUUGGAAAGUUUCGGCGGUUGGGGAUGGACUCGCGGCUUAUCAGCUUGUUGGUGGGGUAGUGGCUUACCAAGGCUUUGACGGGUAGCCGGCCUGAGAGGGUGACCGGCCACAUUGGGCCUGAGAAACGGCCCAGACGCCUACGGGAGGCAGGAGUGGGGAAUAGUGCACAAUGGGCGGAGGCCUGAUGCAGCAACGCCGCGUGCGGGAGGACGGCCUUCGGGUUGUAAGCCGCUUUCGCCUGUGACGAAGCGUGAGUGACGGUAAUGGGUAAAGAAGCACCGGCUAACUACGU